rnacentral:tRNA from 1 species
GCGGGUAUGGCGGAAUUGGCAGACGCGUCAGAUUUAGGCUCUGGUGAAGCAAUUCGUGCAGGUUCAAGUCCUGUUACCCGCA